GGUAGGUAUCGGGUAGUUACUCCGACUUAGGUCGGAGAGGAAAGUCCGAACACGCAGCCCCUAUGGGGUUAAACGUAGCGGGUAACACCCGUCGCUCGCAAGAGUAGAGUUGAGAACAGUGACGAAUCCCUUUAGUGGGAGUGAAACGGCAAAAUACUUACGCGCGUGCAAGAUCGUGUCCUUCGACAAGCUCAGGACUAGUCCCGAGUAAAACCGAAGGAAGAAUCGCUUGACCCUGAGGGCAACCGAAGGGCUAGAUAAAUUACUAUCUAUUACAAAAUUCGGCUUAUAGAUACCUACACAAA
rnacentral:RNase_P_RNA from 1 species